UACGUAGGGUGCAAGCGUUGUCCGGAAUUAUUGGGCGUAAAGAGCUCGUAGGCGGUCUGUCGCGUCUGCUGUGAAAACUCGGGGCUUAACCCCGGGCCUGCAGUGGGUACGGGCAGACUCGAGUCCGGUAGGGGAGUGUGGAAUUCCCGGUGUAGCGGUGAAAUGCGCAGAUAUCGGGAGGAACACCCGUAGCGAAGGCGGCACUCUGGGCCGGUACUGACGCUGAGGAGCGAAAGCGUGGGGAGCAAACAGG
rnacentral:rRNA from 1 species